AUGAUUGACAAGUUUAUUCCAUGAUAAGACAUCGUUCAGUGAAUUUCAAGUUAUAAUCGUGGGCAAUUAAAAUGUAAAAAUUAUCAAAGUAUUUGAAUCAGAAGAGAAUUGAUAUGGAAAUUUUACAAACAAAUUUUAUAAAGAAAUUACUUAAUCUUGCAUUAUUGAUAGAAGAAAAUUAAUGUUUCAUUAAGUUAUUAAAUUGAAAUAUGUGAAAAGUUAUCAAGAAAAAAAAAAAAAGAAGAAAUUAAAUUUCUGAGAAGUAAACAGAAUUGAAGAAAUAAAGAAGAUACAAGCUUUCGAUUAUUCGGCCAGCUACUUCAAUCGCGCCUCCUUGAAAUACGAACUUGUUUGAGAACUUCCUUCAUGGAGCACGUGAUCCUCUAUUGGAUAGAUACGCCUGAUCGACAGCCUCUUUACGAGCUUACAAGCUAUCGUUUAUUCAAUGCUAUGUGAAACAGCAUAAGGAGAGAACAGUUUAAAUCAUUGGCAAAGAUACACCAGGUCGUUGCUCGAGUUUAUUGCUUCAAAAGGCCACAAAAAAAAAAUACAUAAGAAAAAAUCUUUUAUAGAAUAAUAAUUAUGACACAAUGAUUUGAGUUGAAAUUAACGAUAUGUAUAGUUAUAUUAGAUAGAAAUUAAAUGAUACAUGAUAAUGUUUUAUAAUUAUAAUUCCAAGAAAGAAAAAAAGUUAUUCUGGAUUUAAUUCGAUACUCUUUAAUUAUAAUUAAAUACUUCAAGAUUAUUAGUUUUAGAUUCUUAGAAAUUUAUUGAAAUGUGAUCUCACAAAAGUUUACAAUUGUUAAGAUAAAGUUUAUUUAAAGUAGUAACAAGAAAUAUUUUAAAUUUUGAUUAAUUUUAAAUAUUAGAUAUUAUAAACGUUCGUAUAAAUCUUCUACACAAUUUCAAAUAUGUAAUUCGUAUAAAGAAGUAUCAAACGAAUUAUACGUGUAUUAUGUGUAAAGAUUCAUAAAAAAUGAUUAAAAGUGUUAUCGUAUGGAGCGUAAUAUAUAAAUAAUACAGAUAAAAAAUAAUCACAUAAUAUCUAAAAACAAUAAGAUAAAAAGUAGGAUCAAGUAAAUAUUCAUUGAAAAUAUGUUUUUAAAUUAACUUUCAAGUAGAAAGAAAAACUCGAUUUCAUAAUUUAGACAAAAAAUUCUGUCUUAGACGACAAAUCCAAAUGUAUUACUUCGUUCUUGUACAUUUCGAUAGUCUGUAAAAAUAAAAAUACAUUUUUAUAUAUAC